GACGAACGCUGGCGGCGUGCUUAACACAUGCAAGUCGAACGGUGAAAGAAGAGCUUGCUCUUCUGGAUCAGUGGCGAACGGGUGAGUAACACGUGAGUAACCUGCCCCAGACUCUGGAAUAAGCGCUGGAAACGGCGUCUAAUACCGGAUACGAGACAGUGCUGCAUGGCUACUGUCUGGAAAGUUUUUCGGUCUGGGAUGGACUCGCGGCCUAUCAGCUUGUUGGUGAGGUAACGGCUCACCAAGGCAACGACGGGUAGCCGGCCUGAGAGGGCGACCGGCCACACUGGGACUGAGACACGGCCCAGACUCCUACGGGAGGCAGCAGUGGGGAAUAUUGCACAAUGGGCGAAAGCCUGAUGCAGCGACGCCGCGUGAGGGAUGACGGCCUUCGGGUUGUAAACCUCUUUCAGCAGGGAAGAAGCGAAAGUGACGGUACCUGCAGAAGAAGCACCGGCUAACUACGUG
rnacentral:rRNA from 1 species